rfam:Triticum aestivum genome assembly, contig: Triticum_aestivum_CS42_TGACv1_scaffold_405870_5BL
GAGGUACUCCCUCCGUCCCAAAAUUCCUGUCUUAAAUUUGUCUAGAUACAAAUGUAUUUCUGUCUUAGAUUUGUUUAGAUACGGAUGUAUCUGAUACAUUCGUAUCUAGAUAAAUCUAAGACAAGAAUUUUGGGACGGAAGGAGUAUAUA